GACGAACGCUGGCGGCGUGCUUAACACAUGCAAGUCGAACGGAAAGGCCCUGCUUUUGUGGGGUGCUCGAGUGGCGAACGGGUGAGUAACACGUGAGUAACCUGCCCUUGACUUUGGGAUAACUUCAGGAAACUGGGACUAAUACCGGAUAGGAGCUCCUGCUGCAUGGUGGGGGUUGGAAAGUUUCGGCGGUUGGGGAUGGACUCGCGGCUUAUCAGCUUGUUGGUGGGGUAGUGGCUUACCAAGGCUUUGACGGGUAGCCGGCCUGAGAGGGUGACCGGCCACAUUGGGACUGAGAUACGGCCCAGACUCCUACGGGAGGCAGCAGUGGGGAAUAUUGCACAAUGGGCGGAAGCCUGAUGCAGCAACGCCGCGUGCGGGAUGACGGCCUUCGGGUUGUAAACCGCUUUCGCCUGUGACGAAGCGUGAGUGACGGUAAUGGGUAAAGAAGCACCGGCUAACUACGUGCCAGCAGCCGCGGUGAUACGUAGGGUGCGAGCGUUGUCCGGAUUUAUUGGGCGUAAAGGGCUCGUAGGUGGUUGAUCGCGUCGGAAGUGUAAUCUUGGGGCUUAACCCUGAGCGUGCUUUCGAUACGGGUUGACUUGAGGAAGGUAGGGGAGAAUGGAAUUCCUGGUGGAGCGGUGGAAUGCGCAGAUAUCAGGAGGAACACCAGUGGCGAAGGCGGUUCUCUGGGCCUUUCCUGACGCUGAGGAGCGAAAGCGUGGGGAGCGAACAGGCUUAGAUACCCUGGUAGUCCACGCUGUAAACGGUGGGUACUAGGUGUGGGGUCCAUUCCACGGGUUCCGUGCCGUAGCUAACGCUUUAAGUACCCCGCCUGGGGAGUACGGCCGCAAGGCUAAAACUCAAAGGAAUUGACGGGGCCCCGCACAAGCGGCGGAGCAUGCGGAUUAAUUCGAUGCAACGCGUAGAACCUUACCUGGGUUUGACAUGGAUCGGGAGUGCUCAGAGAUGGGUGUGCCUCUUUUGGGGUCGGUUCACAGGUGGUGCAUGGCUGUCGUCAGCUCGUGUCGUGAGAUGUUGGGUUAAGUCCCGCAACGAGCGCAACCCUUGUUCACUGUUGCCAGCACGUUAUGGUGGGGACUCAGUGGAGACCGCCGGGGUCAACUCGGAGGAAGGUGGGGAUGACGUCAAGUCAUCAUGCCCCUUAUGUCCAGGGCUUCACGCAUGCUACAAUGGCUGGUACAGAGAGUGGCGAGCCUGUGAGGGUGAGCGAAUCUCGGAAAGCCGGUCUCAGUUCGGAUUGGGGUCUGCAACUCGACCUCAUGAAGUCGGAGUCGCUAGUAAUCGCAGAUCAGCAACGCUGCGGUGAAUACGUUCCCGGGGCU
rnacentral:rRNA from 1 species